rnacentral:ncRNA from 2 species
AUGACCCGCACGGGGAGCCUGGUGGUCCUAGGCUGAGAGGAAAUCCGAAAGAUUUCGACCCGCGAACCUGAUCCGGAUAAUGCCGGCGGAGGAAUAGCUGCCAUUCAUCAAC